AAUGUUAAAUUCUUUUAAAAAAGAUAAGGGAUUUAAAUGGCGAAAGAAGCGGAAUGUAUCAAAGUGGACGACAAAACUUCGAUGUAGUCCGAGUUUUCUGCACAACCUCAAGAUACGCUUGGCCUUUUGAGGAUAGAGUACAUUACCUAGGAAUAAUUUUACAUUUCAAACGUUCGCAAAGAUGCGCGAAUAAUUAGAAAGGAAACUUGAUAUUCGAGGAAAAGAAGAAAGAAAGAACGACACAGAAGAAACCGACUCGAGAUGAUUUUAUCGCUUUAACCCGUGUAAAACAGAUGAUUAGUCGACUUGCGUGCAAAAAGAACAUUAUGUCUUGCUGUUAAUUAAUUCUCUUUU
rnacentral:misc_RNA from 1 species